rnacentral:tRNA from 1 species
GGAGCUGUGCCUGAAUGCCCAAGGACCACUUUGAUAGAGUGAACCACGGGGGUUAGAUUCCCCCCAGCUCCU